rnacentral:tRNA from 1 species
UCCCUGAUGGCUCAGAUGGUAAAGAAUCUGCCUGCAAUGCAGAAGACCUGGGUUUGAUCCCUGGGUUGGGAA